rnacentral:rRNA from 1 species
GACGAACGCUGGCGGCGUGCUUAACACAUGCAAGUCGAGCGAUGAAGCACCUUCGGGUGUGAAUUAGCGGCGAACGGGUGAGGAACACGUGAGAAAUCUGCCUUCAACUCUGGGAUAACUCCGGGAAACCGGGGCUAAUACCGGAUAUGAGCCUUCUUCGCAUGAAGGGGGCUGGAAAGGUUUUCGGUUGAAGAUGAUCUCGCGGCCUAUCAGCUUGUUGGUGAGGUAAUGGCUUACCAAGGCGACGACGGGUAGCCGGACUGAGAGGGCGACCGGCCAGACUGGGACUGAGACACGGCCCAGACUCCUACGGGAGGCAGCAGUGGGGAAUAUUGCGCAAUGGACGAAAGUCUGACGCCGCAAUGCCGCGUGAAGGAUGAAGGCCCUCGGGUCGUAAACUUCUUUUGCCACAAGUGAGGACUUGUGGAGAAUAAGUGACUGCUAACUCUGUGCCAGCCGCCGCCGUAA